rnacentral:rRNA from 1 species
AACGAACGCUGGCGGCAUGCCUAACACAUGCAAGUCGAACGAGACCUUCGGGUCUAGUGGCGCACGGGUGCGUAACGCGUGGGAAUCUGCCCUGGGGUGCGGAAUAACUCGGAGAAAUCCGUGCUAAUACCGCAUAAUGUCUUCGGACCAAGGAUUUAUCGCCCUGGGAUGAGCCCGCGUAGGAUUAGCUAGUUGGUGGGGUAAAGGCCUACCAAGGCGACGAUCCUUAGCUGGUCUGAGAGGAUGGUCCGCCACACUGGGACUGAGACACGGCCCAGACUCCUACGGGAGGCAGCAGUGGGGAAUAUUGGACAAUGGGCGAAAGCCUGAUCCAGCAAUGCCGCGUGAGUGAUGAAGGCCCUAGGGUUGUAAAGCUCUUUUACCCGGGAUGAUAAUGACAGUACCGGGAGAAUAAGCUCCGGCUAACUCCGUGCCAGCAGCCGCCGUAAGAC